UGACAUACCUAAAACGUUGCCUCGGCGGGAACAGACGGCCCCGUAACACGGGCCGCCCCCGCCAGAGGACCCCCUAACUCUGUUUCUAUAAUGUUUUUUCUGAGUAAACAAGCAAAUAAAUCAAAACUUUCAACAACGGAUCUCUUGGCUCUGGCAUCGAUGAAGAACGCAGCGAAAUGCGAUAAGUAAUGUGAAUUGCAGAAUUCAGUGAAUCAUCGAAUCUUUGAACGCACAUUGCGCCCGCCAGUAUUCUGGCGGGCAUGCCUGUUCGAGCGUCAUUACAACCCUCAGGCCCCCCCGGGCCUGGCGUUGGGGAUCGGCGGAAGCCCCCUGUGGGCGCAACGCCGUCCCCCAAAUACAGUGGCGGUCCCGCCGCAGCUUCCAUUGCGUAGUAGCUAACACCUCGCAACUGGAGAGCGGCGCGGCCACGCCGUAAAACACCCAACUUCUGAAUGUUGACCUCGAAUCAGGUAGGAAUACCCGCUGAACUUAAGCAUAUCAAUAAACGGAGGA
rnacentral:rRNA from 1 species